rnacentral:misc_RNA from 1 species
GUGAAUCAUCAAAUUUUUGAACGCAAAUUGCGCUUCCUGGCAUCCCGGGAAGUAUGCCUGUUUGAGGGUCAGUAUGAAUAAAAGAUCGGUUUAGGUACAAAUUGUGACGUUGCCGGAGUUUUGGCUAUCUUAACAUUUUUGGUUAAGAGGCUUAAAAUUGACCUUUGUGGCGCAUCUUUAAACGAACAUAAAUUUUUUUAUGCGUCUGUUCUUAAUGCCAAAAUCUUAGUAAAUGCGAGCACAUCGUGUGGCUUCGUGUCCAU